CCUACGGGUGGCAGCAGUGAGGAAUAUUGGUCAAUGGACGAGAGCCUGAACCAGCCAAGUAGCGUGAAGGAUGACUGCCCUAUGGGUUGUAAACUUCUUUUAUAUGGGAAUAAAAUGUUCCACGUGUGGGAUUUUGUAUGUACCAUAUGAAUAAGGAUCGGCUAACUCCGUGCCAACAGCCGCGGUAAUACGGAGGAUCCGAGCGUUAUCCGGAUUUAUUGGGUUUAAAGGGUGCGUAGGUGGAUUGUUAAGUCAGUUGUGAAAGUUUGCGGCUCAACCGUAAAAUUGCAGUUGAAACUGGCAGUCUUGAGUACAGUAGAGGUGGGCGGAAUUCGUGGUGUAGCGGGGAAAUGCUUAGAUAUCACGAAGAACUCCGAUUGCGAAGGCAGCUCACUGGACUGCAACUGACACUGAGGCUCGAAAGUGUGGGUAUCAAACAGGAUUAGAUACCCCAGUAGUC
rnacentral:rRNA from 1 species